rnacentral:lncRNA from 1 species
UUUUUUUUUUUUUUUUUUGUGAAAGAUAUCAUGUGUGAGAGUUGAAAGUACUUAAAGAAUAAUAAAACAGACACCAAUAUAUUCACUAUCCAGGUGAAAAAUAGCAUUUGGCCAGUACUUUAGAAUUCUGGGUGCCGUUUUGUUCUCCAGCCCCCCCUCCCAAAUUUUAUGCUGCUUUUCUUUUCUUUUCUUUUUUUUUUUUUUUUUUUUUAAAGAUUUUGUUUAUUUAUUCAUGAGAGACACAGAAGGAGAGAGGCGCAGAAACAGGCAGAGGGAGAAAGUAGGCUGCAUGCAGGGAGCCUGACAUGGGAGUUGAUCCUGGGUCUCCAGGAUCACACCCUGGGCUGCAGGCGGCGCUGUACCACUGAGCCACCCAGGCUGCCCUUAUGCUGCCUUUCUUUAGAGUUCGACUACUUAUCAUAUUUCAUUGAACCUUAGCCCCCAACAACUAGGAGACAAAUCCUUAUUUCAUGUCUAAGAAAGAAAAAGUGCUGCUAAGUGUAAUUGCACCACCGCUUAUAAGAUGCAUUCCCCUAUUUUCUGAAAGAGUAGACUGUGAGAAGUGUAUUUUAGAAUCAACAAAAUGUGACCUGCAUGCAUCUGAAUAUCUUUUUAGUCUUGCUCGUUUUUGAGCUGUCUAUACAUGGAAUCAUACUCUACAAAGUCUUCUGAUUAGCUUUUGUCCACGGUGUGCUUCUGAGACUCUCCCAUGUGGGUGCAGGUGGCGGUGGUGUGUUCCAUUACACUGCUGUGGAACAUUCCACAGUGAGCUUAUGCCACCACGCAUAUUUGCAUUACUGCAACUGGGCAUCUCGGUUGUUUCUAGUUUUAGUGAUUUGAACUGUUUUUAUGCACAUUCUUAAAUGUAUCUUCUGAUGCACUCGGGUCUUUUAAGGGUAUAUAUAUCAGUGAAAUCUCAAGUUCAAAGAAAUGUCAAGCUCAAAGUUCAAAGAAAUAUAUGUUAAAAGGACACAUAUAUGUAUACAAACAUAUAUACAUAUAUAUGUUUGCAUUUGUGAGGCAGUGUCAACAUAUUUCUGAAGUGGUAGCACCAAUUGAAAUUCUCCCUUUUACCUUCAGUGGAUUUUCAGUGACCUUCCCCAUUAUACUGGAGCUAAUUUUCCCAUUUUUUAAGGUCAUGGAAGUGUGCGCCUAUGUUUUCCUCUAAAAUUGUAUUGCUCUGCCUUUCACCAGAGUUAGGAAAUACUGUUUUUCUAUUCAAUUCUAAUAAAAUUAGAAUACUCUCUUUGCUUGGAAGUUUGGCAAGACUCGCCUAAAAAGUUGAGUGGGCCUCGUGUUUUCUUUGUUGCAAGAUUUUAAGCUAUUAAUUUAUUUACUUUUAGGGAUAAACGGUAUUCAGAUUUUCUACUUCUUGAGCUUCUUGUUAAUUUGUAUUUUACUCAGAAUUCAUCUGUUUCAUCUAAGUGUUCAAAUUUACUGGGAAAAAAUGCUCAUAAUACUUGAUUUAAAUUCAGACAUGUUUGUACCCCUCUUUUUUUAAAAAAAUGAUUUAUUUAUUCAUGAGAGACACAGAGAGACAGAGACACAGGGAAAAGAAGGGAUCCCAGGACCUUGGGAUCACGUCCUGAGCCAAAGGCAGAUGCUCCUCCUAUUUCUUGAUGAGACUUAUCAAGUAAUCAUUGUUUGCUUAGUUCAUCUUCAUAUGUUUUUCAUUAAUUUCUGCUCAUAUCUUUCUUUCCCUCUACUUCUUUAGGUUUAUUCUGAUUUUUUUUUAUAACUUCUUAAAUGCUUAGCUCAGUAUUCCUCAGUGCUUCUUCUUUUCUACGUAUAUGAAUCCCCUUUUAAUACCAUUUUAGUGGAAUCCCACAGGUUUUGUAAAUUGCAUUUUCAUCUCAUUUAGUUCUGUUUAUUUUCUGAUUUCUACCAUGAUUUCCUUGUUGACCCAUGAGGUACUUAGAAGUUUUUAAAAAGUAUUACUUUCAAACAAGUUGGGUUUCCUAGUUAUGUUUUCAUUACUAAUUUCUAAAUAGAUUGCAUUAUAGUCAAAGACAGUGGUCUUGGGGUGCCUGGUUGGCUUAGUUGGGUAAGCAUCAGCCUCUUGAUUUAGGCUCAGGUCAUGAUCUCAGGGUCAUAAGAUAAAGCCCAGUGGGAAUCAGGCUCCACACUCAGCUAGGAGUCUGCUUGCCCCUCUCCAGCCACUCCUUCCCCCAAUUCUUUUUUUUUUUUUAAUUUUUAUUUAUUUAUGAUAGUCACACACAGAGAGAGAGAGAGAGAGGCAGAGACAUAGGCAGAAGGAGAAGCAGGCUCCAUGCACUGGGAGCCCGACGUGGGAUUCGAUCCCGGGUCUCCAGGAUCGCGCCCUGGGCCAAAGGCAGGCGCUAAACCGCUGCGCCACCCAGGGAUCCCUCCUUCCCCCAAUUCUUGCAUGCUCUCCUAUAUAUGCGCAUGCAUAUACUCUCUCUCUCUCUCAAAUAAUAAAACAAUAAAAUCUUUAUUUUUUAAAAGAUUUUAUUUAUUUAUUCAUGAGAGACAUAAAGAG